ensembl:snRNA U6 U6 spliceosomal RNA
GUGCUCCCUUUAGGCAGCACGUAGACUAAAAUUGGAAAAAUACAGAGAAGAUCCCUGUGCAAGGAGGACAUGAAAAUCCACGAAGCGUUCCAUAUUUUU